AGUGAUUACACAUUUUGUCACCCUUACUAUUUUCAAUGUACCACAAGACCCAAUCUCGCUCCAUAACAGGAACACAUUGGCAACUACAGAACGAAGGAACAACGGUUGAAAUGAACUCGUCCCUCUUUGCCAGAAACUCGUCACUGUGCGACAAACCCCAUGCCCAUUUUAGAGACCGAACUAGUUUCUCGAUCCUGACAACUGAUUCCCUCGUAAAACGAGCAAAAUACUCCUCAUCACCCCAAAAUAUUUUUUUAGUCAUUGCGUAUGUAUACACAGCAUGCUCAUAUCAUGAAAGCAAGUCCUUCUUCCUGAAGGUUAAAUGUGAAGAAAAAUUGUACACCCUUCAUAUAAAGUGUGCUUGGAUUUCUCUCUGCGUAGCAAGUUUUAAAUAACUCAGGAGGCAUAUUGAGUCUCCUGGGAACGGAUAACACAUCGUAAAAAUGGUUUACCCUGCUCCACUCUGCUAACGCCUUCAUCGUCUUGCGCGAUGCUCUUAGGCCAUAGAGAUCUGUGAAGGAGUUACC
rnacentral:lncRNA from 1 species